UACGUAGGGAGUAAGCGUUGUUCGGAAUUACUGGGCGUAAAGGGUGUGUAGGCGGGGACGCAAGUUGGGGGUGAAAUCUACGGGCUCAACCCGUAAACUGCCUCCAAAACUGCGUUUCUUGAGUAUGGGAGAGGAGAUUGGAAUUCCCAGUGUAGGGGUGAAAUCUGUAGAUAUUGGGAAGAACACCAGUGGCGAAGGCGAAUCUCUGGCCUAAUACUGACGCUGAGACACGAAAGCGUGGGGAGCAAACAGGAUUAGAUACCCUGGUAGUCCACGCCCUAAACGUUGUACACUAGAUGUCGGGGGUAUCGAUUCCCCCGGUGCCGACGCUAACGCAUUAAGUGUACCGCCUGGGGAGUAUGCUCGCAAGGGUGAA
rnacentral:rRNA from 1 species